rnacentral:rRNA from 1 species
UACGUAGGCAGCAAGCGUUGUUCGGAGUUACUGGGCGUAAAGGGUGUGUAGGCGGUUGUUUAAGUUUGGUGUGAAAUCUCCCGGCUCAACCGGGAGGGUGCGCCGAAUACUGAAUAACUAGAGUGCGGGAGAGGAAAGUGGAAUUCCUGGUGUAGCGGUGAAAUGCGUAGAUAUCAGGAGGAACACCGGUGGUGUAGACGGCUUUCUGGACCGUAACUGACGCUGAGGUGCGAAAGCGUGGGGAGCGAACAGG